CCAAGAUUGCUCUGUUCCUGGAUCAUCAAUCUCUAAUCCUCCUCUCAAGAAACCUCUCCCAGCUCCUCCUCAGAGCAACAACUCCAAGAUCCAACCUGGAGAUGCAACGAUGAACCAGUGGGGAUCUACAAGUACUAUUUCAGAGUAUUUGAUCGACACCUUACCUGGUUGGCACGUUGAGGACUUUCUCGACUCCUCCCUUCCUCCUUUUGGAUUCUCUAAGGUUUGUUCAUCUAUGCUGAUCAAUAAAGAAUUAAAGAUCCUAAGUUUAGUUGGAUCAAGAUUUGGUGUUUUAUUAGCAACUUCAGUGACCCCUAAGAUUAGUUGGAUCAAGAUUUGGUGUAAUAUCAUUAUCAUUUCAGAUCUAAUUGAGAUACAAAGAAAAGUAGCAAAACUUUAUAGAGAUGUACAUAGAGAGAUCUUCUGCAUAUUUUUGGGUAUAUUUGUCUUAGAGUUAUGAAAAUAGAUGGUUUGUUUUCUUUAUCUGG
rnacentral:lncRNA from 1 species